rnacentral:rRNA from 1 species
GACGAACGCUGGCGGCGUGCUUGACACAUGCAAGUCGAGCGGUAAGGCCCUUCGGGUACACGAGCGGCGAACGGGUGAGUAACACGUGGGUGACCUGCCUCUAGCUCUGGGAUAAGCCUGGGAAACUGGGUCUAAUACCGGAUAUGACUCCACGGCGCAUGUUGUGGGGUGGAAAGCCUUGUGUGGCUAGAGAUGGGCCCGCGGCCUAUCAGCUUGUUGGUGGGGUGAUGGCCUACCAAGGCGACGACGGGUAGCCGGCCUGAGAGGGCGACCGGCCACACUGGGACUGAGACACGGCCCAGACUCCUACGGGAGGCAGCAGUGGGGAAUCUUGCGCAAUGGCGAAAGCCUGACGCAGCGACGCCGCGUGAGGGAUGACGGCC